AGAGUUUGAUCAUGGCUCAGGAUGAACGCUAGCUACAGGCUUAACACAUGCAAGUCGAGGGGCAUCAGGGUGUAGCAAUACACCGCUGGCGACCGGCGCACGGGUGAGUAACACGUAUCCAACCUGCCUCAUACUCGGGGAUAGCCUUUCGAAAGAAAGAUUAAUAUCCGAUAGCAUAUAUUUCCCGCAUGGGUUUUAUAUUAAAGAAAUUCGGUAUGAGAUGGGGAUGCGUUCCAUUAGUUUGUUGGCGGGGUAACGGCCCACCAAGACUACGAUGGAUAGGGGUUCUGAGAGGAAGGUCCCCCACAUUGGAACUGAGACACGGUCCAAACUCCUACGGGAGGCAGCA
rnacentral:rRNA from 1 species